rnacentral:lncRNA from 1 species
AUGCAAAUCAUAGUAACGAGUGCCUCGUCAAUGCUUAUGUUUUUCAUAGAACAUAAUGAUUCUUGCUUGUAUCUCUAUUAUGCAAUUCAUGUAGGGAACUUGUAGGGAAUGUUUUGGGUUGUCGUAUGCAAUCAUCCAACCUAAUAACUUGUGGAAAAAACUAAGGGUUAAUUAGUGCAAUUCACGGUUAAUUUGGGGCGUUGAGUAUUCAUAGCUUAUCGAAAAGCAACUGGAAAUCGUUUUGUAUGCAAGUGUGACAUAUGUGGAGAAGAACCUCCUAGCUAAUCUUUCAUCCAUAAGUUUCAUUCAAAUUCACUUACAAUCU